rnacentral:rRNA from 1 species
AGUGAACGCUGGCGGUAGGCCUAACACAUGCAAGUCGAACGGCAGCACAGUAAGAGCUUGCUCUUACGGGUGGCGAGUGGCGGACGGGUGAGGAAUACAUCGGAAUCUACUUUUUCGUGGGGGAUAACGUAGGGAAACUUACGCUAAUACCGCAUACGACCUACGGGUGAAAGCAGGGGAUCUUCGGACCUUGCGCGAUUGAAUGAGCCGAUGUCGGAUUAGCUAGUUGGCGGGGUAAAGGCCCACCAAGGCGACGAUCCGUAGCUGGUCUGAGAGGAUGAUCAGCCACACUGGAACUGAGACACGGUCCAGACUCCUACGGGAGGCAGCAGUGGGGAAUAUUGGUCAAUGGGCGCAAGCCUGAUCCAGCCAUACCGCGUGGGUGAAGAAGGCCUUCGGGUUGUAAAGCCCUUUUGUUGGGAAAGAAAAGCAGCAGGUUAAUACCCCGCUGUUCCGACGGUACCCAAAGAAUAAGCACCGGCUAACUUCGUG